GCUCACGCCCCCGGGCCGCGCGCCCGCCGAAGACACCCUCGAACUCUGUCUGAAGAUUGAAGUCUGAGUGAAUAAUAUAGAUUAUUUAGAGACUUUCGACAACGGAUCUCUUGGUUCCGGCAUCGAUGAAGAACGCAGCGAAAUGCGAUACGUAAUGUGAAUUGCAGAUUCAGUGAAUCAUCGAGUCUUUGAACGCACAUUGCGCCCCCUGGUAUUCCGGGGGGCAUGCCUGUCCGAGCGUCAUUGCUGCCCUCAAGCCCGGCUUGUGUGUUGGGCCCCGUCCUCCGAUCUCCGGGGGACGGGCCCGAAAGGCAGCGGCGGCACCGCGUCCGGUCCUCGAGCGUAUGGGGCUUUGUCACCCGCUCUGUAGGCCCGGCCGGCGCUUGCCGAUCAACCCAAAUUUUUAUCCAGGU
rnacentral:rRNA from 1 species